AAUCAACGCUGGCGGCGUGCCUAACACAUGCAAGUCGCACGAGAAAGGGACUUCGGUCCUGAGUACAGUGGCGCACGGGUGAGUAACACGUGAAUCAUCUACCUUCGAGUGGGGAAUAACUGAGAGAAAUCUUAGCUAAUACCGCAUAAUACCUACGGGUCAAAGCAGCAAUGCGCUUGAAGAGGAGUUCGCGGCAGAUUAGUUAGUUGGCAGGGUAAUGGCCUACCAAGACGAUGAUCUGUAUCCGGCCUGAGAGGGCGCACGGACACACUGGAACUGAAACACGGUCCAGACUCCUACGGGAGGCAGCAGUGGGGAAUUUUGCGCAAUGGGGGAAACCCUGACGCAGCAACGCCGCGUGGAGGAUGAAAUCCCUUGGGAUGUAAACUCCUUUCGAUCGGGAAGAUAAUGACGGUACCGAGAGAAGAAGCCCCGGCUAACUUCGUGCCAGCCGCCGCGGU
rnacentral:rRNA from 1 species